GGAGUUAGCCGGUGCUUCUUCUGCGAGUAACGUCACAGAUGUAAGGUAUUAACUUACACCCUUUCCUCCUCGCUGAAAGUGCUUUACAACCCGAAGGCCUUCUUCACACACGCGGCAUGGCUGCAUCAGGGUUUCCCCCAUUGUGCAAUAUUCCCCACUGCUGCCUCCCGUAGGAGUCUGGGCCGUGUCUCAGUCCCAGUGUGGCUGAUCAUCCUCUCAGACCAGCUAGGGAUCGUCGCCUAGGUGAGCCUUUACCUCACCUACUAGCUAAUCCCACCUGGGCUUAUCCAUCAGCGCAAGGCCCGAAGGUCCCCUGCUUUCCCCCGUAGGGCGUAUGCGGUAUUAGCAGUCGUUUCCAACUGUUAUCCCCACAAAUGGGCAAAUUCCCAGGCAUUACUCACCCGUCCGCCGCUCGUCAUCUUCAAAAGCAAGCUUUUGAAAUGUUACCGCUCGACUUGCAUGUGUUAGGCCUGCCGCCAGCGUUCAAUCUGAGCCAUGAUCAAACUCUGA
rnacentral:rRNA from 1 species